rnacentral:lncRNA from 1 species
UUCACAUUGGCGUACUUUCGAUCCUUAAAAGGAACACACAUGACCAGGAAAGAUGCCCAAGGAUGGCAGCUGCCUUGCAGCCAAGCAUGGGUCAGACACACCAAUAUGGCAGCCUGAUAUCCAGAGGCCAACCCAGGCCAAGGAGAAAAACAAGAAACACCUGCAAAGACUAAAUUCCCAGGUCCCAGAAGGAUGGACAAAUGUUUGGUGUUGACUUCAACAGCCCAGAUGAGAUUGACUUUCCCAAUCCUGCCAAGAAGCCUAAAAGAAGACCUUCCACAUUUGAGAACUCAGUACCUGAGAACAGUUAUGAUUCUUUGCAAACAACCUGAGGAUUCAUAACAUGCAUCCUCUGCAGAGCUCUCCUUCUCCUGCUUGCUGCUGCCCCGGCUCCUCUUGACGCUCUUAUAGAACUGCCCCCAGCGGUGCCGCCCUGCAUCCUUCUUCAGGCGUUUCUCUUUGGCCCUUCUGUUCUGAAACCAAACCUGCCACACAAGCACAAGGGACAUACUCAGGGGGCGUCCACCACAAACCCAAAGCCCCCAGGACCCCCUAGGCGGGCGGCUGGAAGCAGACUGAAGCCUGAAUGGAGCACAGGUCUGGGAGUGCGAUGCGCCCCACCCCCUCUCCCCAGGUGGGCCUCAGAACUCUGUCUUCAGUUCUGGCAAAAGCCCUGGGGUCAAGCCCUGAGCCCAACCACCCGUGAGCUGAUGUCACUCAGGAUACCUUCCACCCCUGUCCCGGGCCUGGGAUCCCCGGAGGGCACAGGAGUGCUGGCAUCUCACCUGUACGACCCUCAUGUCCAGGCCUGUCUCUGAGGACAGCUGCUCCCUCACGUGCCGGGCAGGCUUGGGGGAGUUCUUGUAUGCAUUCUUUAAUGUCUCCAGCUGCUUGGCUGUGAUGGUGGUCCGGGGCCGCUUAGCUCCAGCCUCUGAGUCAUCUGCAAGGAAAAACCACUGCUUACUGGCUUCGGCCUAUCUGCAGCAGCUGCGCCUCCUCCCACACCCUCCCUUCCAUCCUUUCUGCACCUAAGCCUGCCUGCUGUAGGCAGGACAGCGCGAGGCACAGGGGACAUCAGAGUGGAGAGGUCCCCACUCUCAUGGCACUGACUCCUGCACCACGGGCCUUCCCAAGCCACUGAAAAGUGAGGACAGCAGUCCUUUCUCUGCUCAGCUCCCUGCCUCAACCCUCCCCUGCCAGCCCAGCUGCACAGAAGUCUCAUCAGAUUGAAUGUACCCAAUUCCACACGUCCCUGUCAUGACAAACACUCUGCUCACACAUCCUCAUGAGUUCUUGCCAGAGCUGUGAAGGUGAACAGCCAGGUUGAAGUCAUGUUCAAAGUCGCCCCAGAUGCCCUCCCCUCUGUCUCAUCAGGAGUCUCCCAUUUCCCCACAGCCAUGUCACCUUUGCCCUGGCGUCGCUGGGCUCACAGCCAGGGGUGAGCUUGCACACCCAACAGUGUCUAAGCAGGUUUCUAAACUAUAGGUCAGAACCCACUCGUGGGCUGUAAAGUCACCUUAGUGGAUCAAAACUAAAACAGGAAAUCAGAUGAAGAGAAUGGGAUGGAAUGGCAAGAUCAUUUCAUUAAACUUUAGUUUUUAUUGUAUAAAUAUGUGUACUGAGAUGAAAUGUAAAAUGAGUUUUACUGUGGAUUGUAGUCAAAAUUUUUUGAGAAAACUAGUCUAAGGAAUGUUCUGGGCAACACACUGACUGAUCAACACAAAGUCCUAGACAGAUUUUGAGUGAACAAGCUCAAGUUCCUGUUAGUUAAAGUCUGGUUUGUUCCAUUCAAAGUCAGGUACAGAGAGAGGCGCGUGCGUGUGUUCGGAAGCACAGGUGAAUGUAAAGGUUUGUUUCCUCUCCCAGCACUUAGGCAUACUGCCCUUUUCUCCACAGUGCCCCUGGAGGACACACGGAAUAAAGUCAGCAGCUGGCCUGGGCAGCUCUGCUCUCUGUGCUUGCUCACCUGUGUGCCCCAGAAGGUGUCUCUGUGACAUUCCUGACUUCCUCUCUGUCUUUUCUCCUUUCUUUCCAUUCAAGAAAACCCUCUCUUAGAAACAAUAGUAGCCAACAUGUGUUAGCACCUACCAUGUGCUGGUGUUGACUAAGGACUUUAUAUGCAUUCGGUCCUCACAAUCUACAAGGCUCUCCCUGGAGUCAGCAGACCUGGCUUCAGUGUUCUUGAUGAGUGAGUGACUUGGGCCAGUAACUCACUUCCCCCUUGGAAGUCCAGAGGGCAACACGGCCUGCCCUGAUCUUGGGAGGCACUAGAGGAAUGAAGCAGCUGUGCAGCCAGGACAUGUGUGUACACAGUGAGGGGGGACACACCCGUGCCUUCCCUUCUCCUCGGGCUGUUUUCUUCUCUCACGUGGCCACUGUCAUCCCGGAACUACUGUGGCCCAACUCCCUCCCUGAAGCCCUGAACCCGAAGGGUAGGGAUUCCGGAGCCCCUGCCACAGAGACUACACUACUUAGAGAGUCAUUCCAAAAGACAAAGGGGAACCUCCAAAAUGCCUUCCUUUUCAUUCUGAGGAGUCUGUCCCUUCUGUGCAUAUUUAUAGUCUACACGGGAGUGUCUGAUGCAACUUUGAAUUAUGCAAAUGGGAAAUAGUGCACUUGUGUACAAUCUUUAUAUUAAAAAAUGUGAAAUAAUGCAAAAAAAAAAAAAAAAAA